rnacentral:rRNA from 1 species
UACAGAGGUCUCAAGCGUUGUUCGGAUUCAUUGGGCGUAAAGGGUGCGUAGGUGGCGCCGUAAGUCAGGUGUGAAAUUUCGGAGCUUAACUCCGAAACUGCAUUUGAUACUGCGGUGCUUGAGGACUGGAGAGGAGAUUGGAAUUUACGGUGUAGCAGUGAAAUGCGUAGAGAUCGUAAGGAAGACCAGUGGCGAAGGCGGGUCUCUGGACAGUUCCUGACACUGAGGCACGAAGGCCAGGGGAGCAAACGGG